AUCACCAGGGAAGUCCCUGGAUCUGUGAUUCUUGGCAUUAGAAAUAAAAUUGACUUUGUCUCAAAGUUCUCCUCCUCCCUUUCCAAGCUUUUCCCACCAUCAGCAGGCUACUUCCUUCCAUGGUCCACCUUUCUUGAACGUUGUCACGGCUAUGGCUGCCUCAUGAGCCUCCUACAAAGUGAAAGACAUUAAGAAGAAUUAGAGAUGUGUCCAGAUUUGGCUUCUCAUACAUUUUCCUCCUCUGUCUGCUUAGACUUUCUUGAUUCAUUUUGACAAACUUGAAUCAUUUCAUCACUAUACAACUCCCAUGAUCCUUUAACUUAGAAGGAUAGUUCAAUCAACAAACCUUUAUUGAGCUUUCACAGUGCUCCAAGAACUGACAUGUGCUUUAAGGAUACAGAAAUAGACCUAAAAGGAUUCUCAAUCUAGACUCUAGAGCAACAGAGAGAAAAUGAAACAACUACAGUAAUAUAAACAUAAAUGUCUGCCUCUUUUCCUUUUUACUUGAUAGUCUCAUGACAACAGAGAGUAGGUUCACUUAUAAUAAAAAUACAGAACUUUUUUUUUGGUACUUUGGUCUAGAGGUUGCCUCCCUGAUGUCAUACCCACAUCAUCUUUCUGAAUUGACUUGACUCUUUGAAAUCAAUGAUGUUAAACCACAAAGUCCACCAACAUCUCAAGUGUACUAUGGAGCAUAGCAGCUGCCAAGUAGCAAGUUGCAAGUCUGGGCUGAUCCCUUGUACUUCAGUGGGUUGAGCUCUCUAUAGUCUCUGUCCCUAUUGGGCUCUAUGCGCCAAGGAAGGCCACAGGAUUGAUCUUUGUGCCAUGGGCAAGGUUCUCACUAAAAUAAUAUUCAAGUGCUCUUUGAGGACUGUUUUAUCACUGAGAGGCAAAAUAUUUUAACAACCAAAAGUCCAUCCUGUUCUUUGGAAUUCUCUACUUCCAUGUUCCUUGCCUAGGUUAUCCUUACAGAAGCAAUAUCUCAAUUUUCAAGCUCCUGUUGAAGAUUUCAGGUCUUUAUUUUUACUCCCAGCCUCAAUCUGCUUUAUGAAUCUGGAUAUUGGGACACAUGCUCCCAACAACUCCUCUUGGAUCGUCUACAAGUGUUUGAAAUGAACAAAGCUGAGGAAGCCACUUGUCUGGCAUCUAGAAGCUGCAGACCUGGGUCCUAGCUUUAGGCUGGGUGUUUACGACUGGGUGUAUGAAAUUGGGGAGUACCUGCGUUGUUGAUUUAAUUAGUGUAGGGCGAGGCUGCCUGUGUGUUCCUUCACCUGUUUCCUAGGUGAUUUUAAUACAGUGGAUCUCAACCUUGUCUGUUUCAAAUAUCCCAGUGUGCAACCUGUGCCCCACUUUAAUUAAAUUGGAAACCCUGGGAGUGGAACCCAAGCACCAGUAUUUUUGAAAGCUCCCAGAUGAUUUCACUGAGCAGUCCAAAUGGAAACCAGUGCCCCAGCCCUGCUGGUUAUUAGCCGUGUAAUCUUAGUCAAUAGCUUAACCUGACUAAGCCUCAGUCUACUAAUCUGUUAAUUGAGGAUAAUUAUCAUGCCUGUUUCAGAGAGUGUUAUAAAGAUUAUGUGACAUGAUUUAUGGAAAGAACUUCACAGUGUUUAGCGCAUAAUAAAUACUCGAUAAAUAAAACUAUCCCCAUCUUAGUCAGCUCGGGCUGUCAUAACAAAAUACCAUGGACUGGAUGGCUGAAACAACAGAAUCCUAUUUUCUCACAGUCCUGGAGGCUGGCAGUGCAAGAUCCAGAUUAGGUUCUGGAGAGGGCUCUCUUCUGGCUUACAGACGGGCUUCUUGCUGUGUCCUCACAUGGCAGAGCUCCCUCUCCCUUCCUCGUCCUCUGAGGCCACAGUCCCAUCAAAUUAAGACCCUAUCCUUAGAACCUCAUUUAACUUUAUCUCCUAAAGACCUCAGCUCCAGAUAAGUCACACUGAGGGUUGAGGCUUCAACAUAUGAGCUUUGAAGGGGGAUACCGUUCAGUCCAUAGCAAUCAAAUUAUCUAUUUCCAAAACUUUACCGCUUGGGUGACUAAACGUCCAGAUUUGCCCAGUGUGUUCCUGGUUUCAGUGCUUAAAAUCCUUUAUCCCAGAAAACCUCUGUUGCAGUGUACCCUAUAUCUAAGACAGAAUCCAUUGCUGGCCUGGAAUUUUCUCUUGAAUCUACUUUCUAACUCUGAUUGAUCAUCAAAUCUAAGCAACUCUAACUUUUAAAAAUAUAGGUUAGUUUUGCCUGCAUAUUCCUACUUUUACUCCUACCUCCAUUGUUAUGCCCUCGUAAUCUCCCACCCAGAGGGUUGCAGGGCCCCUCCCCACUCUUCACUCUAAACCAAACCCGAGCACAAGUUAAAAUCCCCUGAGGUCUUGUUAAAGCAGAGAUCACUGUCUCUCUUUUCUUCCCUGAGGUCUGAUUGGGUAGGUCUGGAGCACUGAGAAUUUGCCCUUCUAACAGGUGAUGCUGAUGCUUUUGGUUCCCCAACUUUUGGGUCCUGAACUGAGAGGCUGGGUGGUUUCCCCUCUGCCCAUCCACAGCCAUUGGAGAGAUGGAGCCCGCUGGAGAUUCCAGAAGCGUGUGGGUCAUGCAGCAGCAGCGUGCCCAUCCAGGGCCCCUUUGUGGGUUGCAGAAUUCCAUGUCAGCAGGAAAGCCCUGGCACCAAACAGGCCUAUUAUCAAGUGACCUGCUCAGCUGUGAACUCUCUUUAUCCCAUCCUCAUUCCUGUUCCCAACAGUUACUCCUCACUUAAAAUGCUGAGUCAGCUGCUCUUCACAAACGAUUUAGGUUGGGACACCCCCGACUUGUGAAUUGUGCCGUGUUGUCAUUCAGCAUGCUCAAGACCUCAAGAUGACCCAGACUCCUCACCAGCUCAAGGUAUUGGCAGCAUUCAGUGCCUCGUGGGCCAUUGGACUGAAGACCUCAGCUCUCCUCUGAGCGAUGAGUGCUGGCCAUGCCCUGUUCUCCAUCCUGUGGCCUCUCCCACAUGGUAGCUUGCUUCACCAAGAAGAUGGUAGAGAGAAUCAGCCAGCAAGAUGGAAGUCACAACUUUUCUAAUGAAAUCCCAGGGAUGACAUCCCAUCACCUCCGGUCUGUCUUCUUCGUUUGAAACCGAUCGUUUCCAUCAGAAUUCUAGGAUGCUUUUUAAAAAAUGCAGAUAUGCAUCCCUUUAGGAACUCAGAUGUCUAUUUUGUGAAAAAUCAUCCUGAAGGGAUUCUGAAGCAUAACCCUACUUAAGAACUUCUUUACACCAGUGGGUUGGCAAAUUAUGAUCAGCAAGCAAAAUCUGGCUUCUUUUUCUUUUUUUUUUUUCUUUUUGUUGUUGUUGAAUCUGUUUUUGUAAAUAAAGCUUUAUUGGUCCAUA